rnacentral:rRNA from 1 species
UCAGCCACACUGGGACUGAGACACGGCCCAGACUGCUACGGGAGGCAGCGUAGGGAAUAUUGGACAAUGGGGGCAACCCUGAUCCAGCAAUGCANCGGAGUGACGAAGGCCUUAGGGUUGUAAAACUCUUUCAUCGGUGAGGAUAAUGACAGUAGCCGAAGAAGAA